rnacentral:tRNA from 1 species
GGACCUUUAGCUCAGUUGGUUAGAGCAUCCGGCUCAUAACCGGACGGUCGUAGGUUCGAGUCCUACAAGGUCCACCA